ncrna:unclassified sequences DTF3800-X RNA
UGGUAAGUAAGACCUGCCCGAAAGAAUGAGGCCUACGGAAGUAGGAUGGGAGCGAGUAGGGCAGGGUUUACCA